UACAGAGGAGCCAAGCGUUGUCCGGAUUGACUGGGCGUAAAGCGCACGCAGGCGGACGCGCGCGUGGGGUGUGAAAUCUGGCCGCUUAACGGCCAGGCGCCAUCCCAUACGGCGCGUCUGGAGCGAUGCAGAGGUCGGUGGAAUUGCCGGUGUAGUGGUGAAAUGCGUAGAGAUCGGCAGGAACACCCAGGGGGAAACCAGCCGACUGGGCAUCUACUGACGCUGAGGUGCGAGAGCGUGGGGAGCGAACCGG
rnacentral:rRNA from 1 species